ACGCUUACUUCGCAAGCCUCGCGCGUUUUCUUUUCAAGAGAAAAAGCGUGCGAGGCUUGCGAAAUAAGUGUGC
ensembl:miRNA mir-1833 ncRNA